AGUGAACGCUGGCGGCAGGCCUAACACAUGCAAGUCGAACGGCAGCGCGGGGAGCUUGCUCCCUGGCGGCGAGUGGCGGACGGGUGAGGAAUGCAUCGGAAUCUGCCCUUUUGUGGGGGAUAACCUCGGGAAACCGGGACUAAUACCGCAUACGACCUUCGGGUGAAAGCAGGGGACCUUCGGGCCUUGCGCAGAUGGAUGAGCCGAUGCCGGAUUAGCUAGUUGGUAGGGUAAAGGCCUACCAAGGCGACGAUCCGUAGCUGGUCUGAGAGGAUGAUCAGCCACACCGGGACUGAGACACGGCCCGG
rnacentral:rRNA from 1 species